UACGUAGGGGGCAAGCGUUGUCCGGAAUCAUUGGGCGUAAAGAGCGUGUAGGCGGCCCGAUAAGUCCGCUGUGAAAGUCGAGGGCUCAACCCUCGAAUGCCGGCGGAUACUGUCGGGCUAGAGUCCGGAAGAGGCGAGUGGAACUCCUGGUGUAGCGGUGAAAUGCGCAGAUAUCAGGAGGAACACCAACGGCGAAGGCAGCUCGCUGGGACGGUACUGACGCUGAGACGCGAAAGCGUGGGGAGCAAACAGG
rnacentral:rRNA from 1 species